rnacentral:rRNA from 1 species
UACGAAGGGGGCUAGCGUUGCUCGGAAUCACUGGGCGUAAAGCGCACGUAGGCGGCUUUCUAAGUCAGGGGUGAAAUCCUGGAGCUCAACUCCAGAACUGCCUUUGAUACUGGAGAGCUCGAGUCCGGAAGAGGUGAGUGGAACUCCGAGUGUAGAGGUGAAAUUCGUAGAUAUUCGGAAGAACACCAGUGGCGAAGGCGGCUCACUGGUCCGGUACUGACGCUGAGGCGCGAAAGCGUGGGGAGCGAACGGG